rnacentral:rRNA from 1 species
GAUGAACGCUGGCGGCGUGCCUAAUACAUGCAAGUCGAGCGAACAGACGAGGAGCUUGCUCCUCUGACGUUAGCGGCGGACGGGUGAGUAACGCGUGGAUAACCUACCUAUAAGACUGGGAUAACUUCGGGAAACCGGAGCUAAUACCGGAUAACAUGUUGAACCGCAUGGUUCAACAGUGAAAGACGGUCUUGCUGUCACUUAUAGAUGGAUCCGCGCCGCACUAGCUAGUUGGUAAGGUAACGGCUUACCAAGGCAACGAUGCGUAGCCGACCUGAGAGGGUGAUCGGCCACACUGGAACUGAGACACGGUCCAGACUCCUACGGGAGGCAGCAGUAGGGAAUCUUCCGCAAUGGGCGAAAGCCUGACGGAGCAACGCCGCGUGAGUGAAGAAGGUCUUCGGAUCGUAAAACUCUGUUAUUAGGGAAGAACAAAUGUGUAAGUAACUAUGCACGUCUUGACGGUACCUAAUCAGAAAGCCACGGCUAACUACGUG